CCUACCCAUUUCCAAAUAUGCAGUCUCUGCAAGAAAAGGCCUCACAGUGGAGCGGAGUUGACCAGGCGGACGCCUUCGCCAUUGACACCACCAAUUUGUUUCAGAAACUCGGCCUCCAAACCUUCAUCAAUCUAUCUACCAAUUUCUACAACAGGAUAUAUGAUGAUGAGGAAGAGUGGUUUAAGUCGAUUUUCGCGAACUCGAAGAAAGAAGAAGCGAUCCAGAAUCAAUAUGAGUUCUUUGUUCAGAGAAUGGGAGGACCACCUCUUUAUUCUCAGAGGAAAGGCCAUCCUGCACUAAUCGGACGUCACAGACCAUUUCCUGUCACACACCAAGCUGCAGAGAGGUGGUUGCAUCACAUGCAGAAGGCAUUGGAUAGCACCCAAGAUAUUGAUGAAGACUCAAAAAUCAAAAUGAUGAACUUUUUCAGGCACACUGCAUUCUUUCUAGUGGCUGGAGAUGAGUUGAAGAACCAAAACCAACAAAUUCCAUGCAAGCAUGGAGCUAACAAACCAACUUAAAUUUC
rnacentral:misc_RNA from 1 species